rnacentral:rRNA from 1 species
GAUGAACGCUAGCGGCAGGCCUAACACAUGCAAGUCGAGGGAGAGGUUAUCUUCGGGUAACCAAAACCGGCGCACGGGUGCGUAACGCGUAUACAAUCUGCCUUUCACAUAGGGAUAGCCCGAAGAAAUUUGGAUUAAUACCUAAUGGUAUAUAAGAGCGGCACCGUUUUUAUAUUAAAGCUACGGUGGUGAAAGAUGAGUAUGCGUUCUAUUAGCUAGUUGGAGAGGUAACGGCUCCCCAAGGCGACGAUAGAUAGGGGUUCUGAGAGGGAUGUCCCCCACACUGGUACUGAGAUACGGACCAGACUCCUACGGGAGGCAGCAGUGAGGAAUAUUGGACAAUGGUCGGAAGACUGAUCCAGCCAUGCCGCGUGCAGGAUGAAGGUCCUAUGGAUUGUAAACUGCUUUUGUAAGGGAAGAAUAAGGAGUACGUGUACUUUGAUGACGGUACCUUACGAAUAAGCAUCGGCUAACUCCGUGCCAGCAGCCGCGGUAAUACGGAGGAUGCGAGCGUUAUCCGGAAUCAUUGGGUUUAAAGGGUCCGUAGGCGGGCUGAUAAGUCAGAGGUGAAAGCGCUUAGCUCAACUAAGCAACUGCCUUUGAAACUGUCAGUCUUGAAUGAUUGUGAAGUAGUUGGAAUGUGUAGUGUAGCGGUGAAAUGCUUAGAUAUUACACAGAACACCGAUAGCGAAGGCAUAUUACUAACAAUUUAUUGACGCUGAUGGACGAAAGCGUGGGGAGCGAACAGG